AUACGGAGGGUGCAAGCGUUACUCGGAAUCACUGGGCGUAAAGCGCGCGCAGGCGGCUUGAUAAGUUGGAUGUGAAAGCCUACGGCUCAACCGUAGAACUGCAUCCAAAACUGUCAAGCUAGAGUCUGGGAGGGGAAGAUGGAAUUAGUUGUGUAGGGGUAAAAUCCGUAGAGAUAACUAGGAAUACCAAAAGCGAAGGCGAUCUUCUGGAACAGUACUGACGCUGAGGCGCGAAGGCGUGGGGAGCAAACAGGAUUAGAAACCCUAGUAGUCC
rnacentral:rRNA from 1 species